rnacentral:rRNA from 1 species
AAAUGACUCUCAGCAACGGAUAUCUCGGAUCUCGCAUUGAUGAAGAACAUAGCGAAAUGUGACACCUGGUGUGAAUUGUAGAAUCCCGCGAACCAUGGAGUCUUUGAACGCAAGUUACUCCUGACGCCUUCGGGCUGAGGGAAUGCCUGCCUGGGCUUCACGA